rnacentral:snRNA from 1 species
AUACAUACAUGGCAGAUGAGACUCCAAGAUGUCAAAGGUGGUUUUCCCAGGGUGAGGCUCAUCCCUUGCAUUCCUGAUGUGUAGAUCCCCAUGAUGUCCUCAAACCAAAGAAACUCAGCUACCUUAUUUGUGGUCAUGGAGGACAGUGGUGGCUACAUUUUC